rnacentral:tRNA from 1 species
GGUGGAGAGGUGUAGUAGUUAGCACACUCGACGUGAUAUGGGGGGGCCGGGUUCAAAUCCCGACUCCGCCA